UACGGAGGGUGCGAACGUUAAUCGGAAUUACUGGGCGUAAAGCGCACGUAGGCGGAUUUGUUAGUCAGGGGUGAAAUCCCGAGGCUCAACCUCGGAACUGCCCUCGAUACUGCAAAUCUCGAGUCCGAGAGAGGUGAGUGGAAUUCCUAGUGUAGAGGUGAAAUUCGUAGAUAUUAGGAAGAACACCAGUGGCGAAGGCGGCUCACUGGCUCGGUACUGACGCUGAGGCGCGAAAGCGUGGGGAGCGAACAGG
rnacentral:rRNA from 1 species